rnacentral:rRNA from 1 species
ACGCUCGACACCUACUGGAGGCAGCAGUGGGGAAUAUUGCACAAUGGGGGAAACCCUGAUGCAGCGACGCCGCGUGAGCGAAGAAGUAUUUCGGUAUGUAAAGCUCUAUCAGCAGGGAAGAAACUGACGGUACCUGACUAAGAAGCACCGGCUAAAUACGUGCCAANAGCCGCGGUAAUCUGAGCGGGCUGGCAAGGC